AAAUGCCUCUUAUCACCCCGUCUUGGAACACGGACCAAGGAGUCUAACAUAUGUGCGAGUACCCGGGUGUGAAGCCUGCAUGCGCAAUGAAAGUGAUUGCUGGGAUCUUUGCACCAGCAGCCGACUGAUCAAUUGAGAGAGGUUUGAGUAUGAGCACAUCUGUUAGGACCCGAAAGAUGGUGAACUAUGCUUGAGUAGGGCGAAGCCAGGGGAAACUCUGGUGGAGGUCCGCAGCGAUUCUAACGUGCAAAUUGAUCGUCGAACUUGGGUAUAGGGGCGAAAGACUAAUCGAACUAUCUAGUAGCUGGUUCCCUCCGAAGUUUCCCUCAGGAUAGCUGGAGUUGAACAGUUUUAUCAGGUAAAG
rnacentral:rRNA from 1 species